rnacentral:rRNA from 1 species
GACGAACGCUGGCGGCGUGCUUAACACAUGCAAGUCGAACGGAAAGGCACUGCUAUUGUGGGGUGCUCGAGUGGCGAACGGGUGAGUAACACGUGAGUAACCUGCCCUUGACUUUGGGAUAACUUCAGGAAACUGGGGCUAAUACCGGAUAGGAGCUCCUGCUGCAUGGUGGGGGUUGGAAAGUUUCGGCGGUUGGGGAUGGACUCGCGGCUUAUCAGCUUGUUGGUGGGGUAGUGGCUUACCAAGGCUUUGACGGGUAGCCGGCCUGAGAGGGUGACCGGCCACAUUGGGACUGAGAGACGGCCCAGACUCCUACGGGAGGCAGCAGUGGGGAGUAUUGCACAAUGGGCGGAAGCCUGAUGCAGCAACGCCGCGUGCGGGAUGACGGCCUGCGGGUUGUGAACCGCUUUCGCCUGUGACGAAGCGUUAGUGACGGUAAUGGGUAAAGAAGCACCGGCUAACUACGUG